rnacentral:rRNA from 1 species
UGGGGAAUAUUGGACAAUGGGCGAAAGCCUGAUCCAGCCAUGCCGCGUGAGUGAUGAAGGCCUUCGGGUUGUAAAGCUCUUUCGCCAGGGACGAUAAUGACGGUACCUGGAUAAGAAGCCCCGGCUAACUUCGUGCCAGCAGCCGCGGUAAUACGAAGGGGGCUAGCGUUGUUCGGAUUUACUGGGCGUAAAGCGUGUGUAGGCGGUUUUUUAAGUCAGAGGUGAAAGCCUGGAGCUUAACUCCAGAGGGUCCUUUGAUACUGAAGAUCUUGAGUUCGGGAGAGGUUGGUGGAAUUCCUAGUGUAGAGGUGAAAUUCGUAGAUAUUAGGAAGAAUACCGAUGGCGAAGGCAGCCAACUGGUCCGAUACUGACGCUGAGGCACGAAAGCGUGGGGAGCAAACAGG